AGUGGCGGACGGGUGAGUAACGCGUGAGAAUCUGCCUUGGGGUCGGGGACAACCACUGGAAACGGUGGCUAAUACCGGAUAAGCCGAUUGGUGAAAGAUUUAUUGCCCGAAGAGGAGCUCGCGUCUGAUUAGCUAGUUGGUGAGGUAAGAGCUCACCAAGGCAGCGAUCAGUAGCUGGUCUGAGAGGACGAUCAGCCACACUGGGACUGAGACACGGCCCAGACUCCUACGGGAGGCAGCAGUGGGGAAUUUUCCGCAAUGGGCGAAAGCCUGACGGAGCAAGACCGCGUGAGGGAGGAAGGCUCUUGGGUUGUAAACCUCUUUUCUCAGGGAAGAAGCUCUGACGGUACCUGAGGAAUCAGCCUCGGCUAACUCCGUGCCAGCAGCCGCGGUAAUACGGAGGAGGCAAGCGUUAUCCGGAAUUAUUGGGCGUAAAGCGUCCGCAGGUGGCGAUUCAAGUCUGCUGUCAAAGCACGGGGCUUAACUCCGUAAAGGCAGUGGAAACUGAAUAGCUAGAGUGCCGUAGGGGUAGAGGGAAUUCCCGAUGUAGCGGUGAAAUGCGUAGAGAUCGGGAAGAACAUCGGUGGCGAAAGCGCUCUACUGGACGGCAACUGACACUCAGGGACGAAAGCUAGGGGAGCGAAUGGGAUUAGAUACCCC
rnacentral:rRNA from 1 species